CGGAUCUACUCUGACAGUGACCUUGAGAAAGACAAUAAAACGCGCACAAACCUCUCAUAAUAGUAAUCCUGUUUUGUGCACCCUGAGUGCGUCGGGUUGGUCUGCGUGUGGAGUUGCCAGUGCCAUCAUGUCCUGCUUUGAUGCGAAUAAGUUCGGAGAGGCUGGUCCUUUUCUACGAAAAACUGAUCUGGAGUUGCUGGCUGCGGAAAUCAUCUAAUUUGAUGGUUAAACGCCAGCAUGGGUUCUAGACGAAAAGGAGGCUUACAUUGAGGAUAAGAACAAGCAGCUCGACGGAGACAAUGUUAUCGUUGAGACCAAAGAUAGAAGAAGGCUCUACAGUCUCUUACAGUGAAAGAGGAGAACAUCCAGCAAAUUAAUCCUCCUAAGUUUGACAUGAUAAAGGACAUGGCCAUGCUGACACACCAACAAGGCCUCUUUGCUCUGUCAAUUAUCUACAGUACACACCUGCUCAUUCAAGGGAUUUUUUAUAUUUUUUUAUUACUAUUUUUCUACAUUGUAGAAUAAUUGUAAAGACAUCAAAAC